AUGGGGCCAGAAGGGUAUCGCCUUUGGGAGCCUAGGUGGGAGAAGAUGGAGAACGAGCUGAGGGCGCGAGGAAUCCGUCCAGGUACGGAGGGAUGGGACCCAAGGGCCAAAAGCUGGUGGUACGGGCAUGGGGGAACGCUGAACCCGGAGACAGGGGAGUGUGUUUACCGGGGCAAAAUAAUUAAACCCACCCAAGCCCUUAUUGACGCAAUGAGGGAUGCUCAAGAGGGGAAGAUCAAGUUCAACAGAGAGAACGACGCGCUGACAAAAGCCCUCGGGAAUCCUGAACACGGAGGACGUGUACGAGGCAUGGGGCACAUUCCGUGGAAAAUAGGGUUCCCCCAGAACGAUGACCCAUACGAUUACAGAAGCCGGAAGAGAAAGAUGGAUCGGGAAGCAGAUGUUGUGGCGCGGUUGGCAUCGGAAAUGGAUGUGAUGAAGAAAACCGUGAGUGUACUAGUAGCCGAAAGAGAUGCAGCUCGGGCGCAGCAUGAAGAUCAUCCAGCGGAUAUCAGAAGCCAGCAACGGAGAAGCAGUGUGGCUUCCACGGAGGCCCCACCGGCUGGUGCAGAUGCACCGACGAUCGAAAUUACUACACCGGAGCCUCUGGUGGUCGAAAUUACUGCACCGGAGCCUCCUCGCUACCCCGUGGACGAUAUAAAGGAGAUGAAAGAAUGUCAUCUGUAUUAUCCCAUCGGGAACAUGUCCAUGAAGGUAGCCAUCGGCAGUGCUUUACCAUGUUUACCUGGAGCACUCCACCACAACAACCCCAUUCAAGAUGGCUAUGCUCGUGUCAUGGUGGAGGACAUAGUCCAAGGGUUUGAGGACCUGGAGAUUGACAUUGCUACACCUGAAGGGGAGAAAAGACUUGGAGAUGUCAAGCGCCAUUUCAUUCUAUGGCAAAAGAAGUUUAUCAAGUUUCCAGGCGAGGUGCCAAGGACAACAAGUCCACCCCCCUACGGUGGUGGCGGUUCACCUACACCUCCGUCACGUCAGCCGACGCCCCCCAGUCCACAACGGCCGGCGGGUGAUCAGACGCCGCCCCCCAGUCCUCGUCCGGCGGGUGAUCAGACGCCGCCCCCCAAUCCACCUCCGGCAAAGAAGCAGAAGCAGUCCUGGAUUAUUAACCCGGACCCUUAUGUACCUAAGACCACAAAGGUACCGGAGCCAUCACUGAAGCCUCUUCCCACAAGGCCUUGGGAACGUAGUGCCGAGGAAACUGCCGCGGCCGCGGCUGCUGAUCAUGAGAAAUGGAAGGCGGACUGCAAGAAGAAAAGAGAGCCCGAGCCCAAGCCAGUAUUUUCUGAUGAGCAAAAGAAGUGGGCUAAGUCAUUUUUGAGCACACCGUCCCAAGCCGCGAAGAAUCUGCCUGACGACUAUGCACGUGAACUUCGUAGGCAGGCACUCAUGUUGAAGGAGAAGAAAGAGCGGGCGGAGAACUAG
rnacentral:rRNA from 1 species